rnacentral:rRNA from 1 species
CCUACGCGGCAGCAGUGGGGAAUUUUGGACAAUGGGGGCAACCCUGAUCCAGCCAUGCCGCGUGCGGGAAGAAGGCCUUCGGGUUGUAAACCGCUUUUGUCGGGGAAGAAAUCCUCUGGGCUAAUACCCCGGGGGGAUGACGGUACCCGGAGAAUAAGCACCGGCUAACUACGUGCCAGCAGCCGCGGUAAUACGUAGGGUGCAAGCGUUAAGCGUAAUUACUGGGCGUAAAGCUGUGCAAGGCGGAUGUGAAAUCCCCGGGCUCAACCUGGGAACUGCAUUUGUGACUGCAUAGCUGGAGUGCGGCAGAGGGGGAUGGAAUUCCGCGUGUAGCAGUGAAAUGCGUAGAUAUGCGGAGGAACACCGAUGGCGAAGGCAAUCCCCUGGGCCUGCACUGACGCUCAUGCACGAAAGCGUGGGGAGCAAACAGGAUUAGAUACCCGGGUAGUC